CCUGAAGCUUCUGGGCUCCAGGGAUGCUUCCGCCUUGGAGACAGCAAUAAAGGAGAUGCAGGUUUUCUUGGUUGUGUCCGGGUUUGGACACUGACCACUGUUGAAACCCAGAAACCAGCGCGCAGAAUGAGGCCGAGGGGCCGCUUCUGGAGCGAAGCUUUCCUCUUGCCUUCUCCGCCCACCUCACCCCUGCUCCUCCCUUCAAGGAGUAGCAGAAACCCGAAUUUCUCUUCCCCUAGAGGAGCAGGGAAUUAGAACCCAUUUUCCUCAAACCAUAAAAACUUUGUGGUUAAGAGUUGGUUCCAGAGCCAGGAAGACCUUCAUACUCUGGAGGAACGAAUCCUGAACCGAGGGAUCAGGAAGAAUCGCAAGCGACUGGCUCCCAGG